rnacentral:rRNA from 1 species
UACGUAGGGUGCAAGCGUUAAUCGGAAUUACUGGGCGUAAAGCGUGCGCAGGCGGCUUUGCAAGACAGAUGUGAAAUCCCCCGGGCUUAACCUGGGAACUGCAUUUGUGACUGCAUGGCUAGAGUGCGGCAGAGGGGGGAUGGAAUUCCGCGUGUAGCAGUGAAAUGCGUAGAUAUGCGGAGGAACACCGAUGGCGAAGGCAAUCCCCCUGGGCCUGCACUGACGCUGGAGGAGCGAAAAGCUAGGGGGAGCAAACAGG